rnacentral:rRNA from 1 species
UACGUAGGGGGCGAGCGUUGUCCGAAGUCACUGGGCGUAAAGCGCGCGUAGGCGGUCUUUUAAGUUGGAUGUGAAAUCCUGCGGCCCAACCGCAGAACUGCAUCCAAAACUGGGAGACUUGAGGAUGGAAGAGGGCAGUGGAAUUCCUGGUGUAGCGGUGAAAUGCGUAGAUAUCAGGAGGAACACCCGUGGCGAAGGCGGCUGCCUGGUCCAUAUCUGACGCUGAGGUGCGAAAGCCAGGGGAGCGAAC